GGAAGAUCUUGCGUCUGUGUCAUAUUCUCCUGGUGCCUGAGGAAUGAACCCUUCACACUGGAAGUCUUUUGUCUGUGUGAUGCUCAGAUGUGAAUUUGUGUCAACUAUCCUUCAAAGCCUGUUCCAAGUAGAUCUGUAACAGCUACCAGAAUGGCUUGAGAUGUCUGGAAGAUCUUUCAUCCUUCAAGCUUCCUCGCCUGAAGAUCUUUAGAACUUCAACUUCACUGCCAAAGCAAAUUUAUCUCCACUCAUCAGACGCUGAUCCUCUUCUUCUUGUCAUUGACGAUUAAACCUACAGCAUGACACAAAUGUUACCAUGUUGCAGUUCUUUAAACUAUACAGCCCUAUAUAAGUAAACUCAUUUAAACCCCUUAAGUUACCUGUACAGCAUCCAAUGUGUCAUUUGCAUACUUUAUAUAUUAUCUUGGUUUCACCCAGUUUAAUAAAAUCCUUUAAGUUUA